rnacentral:lncRNA from 1 species
AGAGAUUUAAGAAUUUCACAAAAGGAUCUCCAAUGGUCCACAAACAAAUUAGAAGACAUUCAACCUCCUUUAGUCAUCAGGGAAAUGCAAAUUAAAACCACAUUGUGAUACCACUACGCACCCACCAGAAGAGCUAAAAUUAAGACGACUGACAGUUCCAAGUAUUGACAAGGACGUGGAGCAAUUGAAACUCUCAUGCGUUAUUGACAAUUCCAGGGGACGAACUUGCUAGGCUCCUGUGGUCCUCUCAGGCACCACGGCCCAGGAAGGUCACCUCACUGAGACGUGAUAAAAAUCAAUGACAUCGUG